rnacentral:rRNA from 1 species
GAUGAACGCUGGCGGCGUGCCUAAUACAUGCAAGUCGAGCGAACGGACGAGAAGCUUGCUUCUCUGAUGUUAGCGGCGGACGGGUGAGUAACACGUGGAUAACCUACCUAUAAGACUGGGAUAACUUCGGGAAACCGGAGCUAAUACCGGAUAAUAUUUUGAACCGCAUGGUUCAAAAGUGAAAGACGGUCUUGCUGUCACUUAUAGAUGGAUCCGCGCUGCAUUAGCUAGUUGGUAAGGUAACGGCUUACCAAGGCAACGAUGCAUAGCCGACCUGAGAGGGGGAUCGGCCGCACUGGAACUGGAACACGGACCAGAGUCCUACGGGAGGCAGCAGUAGGGAAUCGUCCGCAAUGGGCGAAAGCCUGACGGAGCAACGCCGCGUGAGUGAUGAAGGUCUUCGGAUCGUAAAACUCUGUUAUUAGGGAAGAACAUAUGUGUAAGUAACUGUGCACAUCUUGACGGUACCUAAUCAGAAAGCCACGGCUAACUACGUG